AGUUCAAAGCCCGAACUGAAUGCCCCAAAAAAAUUUCCCUUUGUUUUCAGUUAGUCUCGUUUGUUCCCAAACAAGUCGGUCACUUUGGAAAAAAUGGUCUGGAUUGAUGGAAGACGUGUCCAGCUGUUGCAUCUGCGCUUCAGGCGGAUUUGUAACUAGUGAACAAUCUAACCUAAAUAUGGAACGAAACUAGCUGACCGGAAGUCCGGAUGGAGGAAGAAUAGUUAAAACGUCCACUUACUGUAAUCGGGAACAUCAGUAAACAUUUAGGUAGACAUUUGUAUGAAGGGACCAUCCAAAAUAGACUGAAGUUCCUGAAUAAAUCGCUGGAAGAUUUCUGCAAAGGCUUUUUUUCCAGACAUGAAUCCUACCGUUCCACCAGCCAUAGUCAUAAAUAUAGUUAAUUACAGUGAGAAUUUAGUCCAUCAUUUCCUCCAUCCUGUUGCAUGAAAAAACACCCGAACCCGUAACCGAUAUUUUUGGGAUUCAGCAGUUUCGGUUACUACGAAGAUCCUCGACAUGACUGGCCGGAUUCUAAUAUAGUGCCUUCCGAUGGCUAAAAGUUCGGUUUUAUUAAGUUGCUUUCUCUUAAAAAAAUAUUCCUGCCUGCAUGUCACAAGAUUGAAACAAGUUUUUUCUUAAUAAAAAUAAAUUUACUGAUCAUGAAUAAAAAAAUUUCCUUCUUUAAAAAUGUAUACUUCCUUUUAAAAAGAGGUUCUUGAAAAGAAAAAUCCCUGCCGAAUGACAUGCCCCAAAAUUAAGUUGCGAGAAUGACGUUCAUUCUCAAGUUUGGGAAAACCCCCUCAAACUCAUUUUCGUCGGGAGCCAGUUUCAUCCGAUU